rnacentral:misc_RNA from 1 species
AAAGUCGUAACAAGGUUUCCGUAGGUGAACCUGCGGAAGGAUCAUUAUCGUGGGGCUUCGGCCCCGUCGAGAUAGCACCCUUGCCUUUAUGAGUACCUUGGUUUCCUCCCCCGGCCAUCGGGGGGUGGGAUAACCUCGUCUGUUCCCCCGGAAGGCAACCAUACCCCGGGGACCGCCAAAAGAAACACGCUGCAAUCACCUGUAACCGUCUGAUAAAACAAGCAAAAGUCAAAACUUUCAACAACGGAUCUCUUGGUUCUG